UAUAUGUAAGGGUUUUUGGUAUAAAGUUUUGAAUUUAAAGAUUUCGAGGGGUAUUAAUAACAAUUACAUAGAGAGAGAGAGAGAGAGAGAGGUAUUAAUGAUAAUUAUAUUAUAUUGUAAAUUUUGGAGAGAUAUUUAUGAUAUUUUUAAAUUUAAAAAAAUAGAUUUAAAAUUAUUGUUUAGAUAAAUAGAUAGGUGAGAUGUGUUAUAUACACUAU
rnacentral:lncRNA from 1 species